rnacentral:lncRNA from 1 species
AAAAACAAUCAAUUCGAUUUUCACUUCGAAAAAUAUAUUUAUUGAAAUUUCGACAGAGUUUCCUCUGUUAAUUCAACAUUUUCAAGAUAUGAAUCCUGUUUCAUCAACCAGUAUCUCAAAUAACAUUUUUUUUUCAUACUUGUACAACUCAGAACAAAACAUCGUAGACUACCAAAUAGCUGCAGAUACUUCGACUCAAUAUAUGCAUAAACAAUAGAGACAUCCACCAAAAAAGCCUACCAAAACGAGUGACACAACUGAACUUUGAAUCUACUAGCAUCUUUCUACUUCACUGCUUGGAAAUCUGAAAAAAAUAAAAAUAAAAUAAAAGAGUAAGUCACAGGGACUUAGUGAGAGACAACAACCACCACCAACAAGAAGGGAAACACACAAGAGCACGAUUAUUUAUUUUCUCAAAUCUAAUAUAGAUUUACAAAUCUAGUAUCCGUAUAAAAUUCAAGUAAUCCACAAUUGUUUAUACGCAUGAAAAUUCACAAUCAAGUGUAUACAUGAAAAUUCAGAAAACUUUAUAAAUUUAUCAAACCAAAUAAGAUUAUAUCGAAAUCCCAAUGUCGUAAAGAGGUGAACCCAAAUCCACAACCAUAAAGAAAAUAUAGAAAUCACACAUAAUAAAAAGGAAUUUUUUUUUUUGAACAAGCCAACAUAAUAAAAAGGAAUUGAAAUAAUAAAAAUCCAAAUAGAAUAUAAAAAUCGGAUUUAAUGAAGUGGAAUCAAAAUAAUCAACUUCAAAGAAAGUAUAAAGAUUCAAUUUUCGUGAAAAUAUCAAAAUGGGUGAAUCGAGAACUAGCUCCAUCUCGUUGAUAGCCCUCUCCUCCUAAUGGUGACCUUUCCAUAGGAGCGGCUCCAUCUAACGGAUAGCUCUUUUCUCUCGACUCAAAACAAUGUGAAUAAAAUAUAGAAAACUCCGUUUAGUCAAAAUAAUCAAAUGGGUGAAUCGAGAACUAACUCCAUCUCGUUGAUAGCCCUCUCCUCCUAAUGGUGACCUUCCAUAGGGGCGGCUCCAUCUAAUGGAUAACUCUUUUCUCUCGACUCAAAACAAAGUGUAAAACAUUUUCAAUUAGAAAGUUUACCUCUCAUUGAUAGCACUCUCCUCCUAAUGGCGGCCUUUCCAUAGGGGCGGCUCUAUCUAACGGGGUAACUCUACCUAAUUGAAAUCACAUACUAGGUGAACCUAGGUCGUCGUCAUUAUAAUUGUAAUUUUCAAAACCUCAUUUUUAAAACACAUGUCUAAAACCAUAUUUCGUAACAUUACAAAACUUAUAUCAACAUAUGUUCAUCAAAACUCAAUUGAAACCUACUACUUAUCAUCAUUAGUAAAUCCAAAUCCAAAUCCAAAUCGUGUACAUAAUCAUAUCAAAUCCUUUCAAAAACACAUUUCAAAUCAUGCUUUACAAUGUAUGAAAACUAAUGUCAAGAUACAUGAAAUCAAAUUUCAAUUCUUAAAUCCACUACUCUAUAAACCAUAAAUCAUAUGCCAAACCAAAACCCAUAUGCAAAUUGAGCGUAUAAUAGUAUCAAAAUAAUUUUCAAACAAAAACAUAUUUCUCAAAACCAUGAUUUGUAAAAUAUCAAACUUGUGUCAAAUGCACACAAUCAAAUCCCAACCUACAAUUCUUUGCUUAUGAGUCAUAGAUAAAAAUUCAAAUAGAGACCAUAAUAAUAUUAAUGACUUUAAACAUGCAUCAAAGACGAGAAAAAUAUUCGAAAGAUGUGUCCCCCAUUUUUGUAAAUACUUUAACAUAUAAAAUCAUAAAAAUAUCAAUAAUAACGAUAAGGAAAAUAAGUGAUAAUGAUCCUCAUCAACUCACAACUAUGACGAGUCAACUCCAUUCCUAGCAAUUUCUUCCGAAAUGACCGCCGAAGCAAUUUUCACCACAUCUUAAGGAGUAUCGAUAAGCAACUUUCAAGAGAUGGGUAAUCCUCUCUUCCUUUAGAGCAUUAACCCCAAUUCCAAAAUUCUACUCAAAAGCACUUGCAUUAUGAGAUUGUGUUGCUUGGAUGUGCUAUUGACCUCAAGAGUUCAUGGCAUAUGGAAGGUAUUUGGUGAUUGAGAGAGAAAAUAAUGGGUUACGGUGUGGGAAGAAAGAAAAGGAAUUGGAAAUGGAAAUAGAAGUUGGAAGAAAUAAAAGGAAAGUUCCAGAGAGAGUGAGAGAAACUGAUGUGGGGUUGGGUUUUCU